GUAUAAUCAUACACAUAAUGAAAAAUAUUUAGAAAAUGCGGGACACCAAAUUUUUGGGAAAUUUCAAACAUCUUUGAGAUUUGAAAAUUUCACAAACUCUUUAAAUCUCCAAUCGCUCCUUUUUAUUUCUAAUCAAAAUCCUAUGGCACCAGGGAUCCGAUCCAAAUUAAAUUGAAUCGCCAAAUGGGAAAAAAAAAAGGGCUCACAAGAGAGAAAAUGGGGCAAGAACAGCAGCUCAUCACUAAAUGGGAAGGCUCUGUUGAUUGGAGAAGCCGACCUGCAAUCAGAGGUCGCCAUGGCGGCAUGCUUGCCUCCUCCUUUGUGCUGGGUAUGUGUCUCCCUUGUGCUGCAAUCAGAGAUCACCAUGGCGAUUAAUUCUUACUUCAGUAGAGUUCGAAAAAGGAAUUAAACAU